rnacentral:lncRNA from 1 species
UAUUCUUACCUACAACGUAUAUUUUCUGUUCUCUUUUUUAUUAUUAUUUUGUGAAUAUAAAUGUUAUUUUGUAGGCAGCAAAUUAAUAAUAAGAUGUUCUUGCUCUGAUGUGCAUGUAAUAUUUGCCACUGGAUCACAUUACCCGCUCCAUUUCUUAUUCCUUACAUAAAUUAUGUGUUUUUUCUUCUCUUAUGACAGUAAUCAACCUUAUGUUCCAUUUUCAUAUUU